rnacentral:tRNA from 1 species
GUAGUAGGGUGUUUAUUAUAGCAUUUUGUAUUUUGAUUACAGAGGAAGGUAGUUCUUACUAC